rnacentral:rRNA from 1 species
AGGGGGAAAAUUAAUAAAAUUAUAAAUAAUAAAAAAAUUUUUAAUAAAAAUAUUUAAAUGGGGGUUAAAGUAUUUUUAAAGAAAAAAUAAAAAAAAUUUAUAGUUAAAUAGUAGUGUGAAGGAAUUUUGAAAUAGUUGAAAAUAAAAUUAUUUAUAAGUAGAUUUAAUUUAUUGUAUCUUGUGUAUCAGAGUUUAUAAAAAAAAAUUUAUAGGUAAAAAUUUCUCGAAUUUUAAAGGGCUAAUUAAUUAAAAAAUUUAAUGUGGGAUAAUUAUUUUAAAUAAUUAAUUAGAAAUGAAAUGUUAUUCGUUUUAAAAUAUAUCUAGUUUUUUUAGAAAUAAAUUUAAUUUAAAAUAUUAUUUUAUUAUAUUUUAAUUAAUAAAAAUUUAAAAAAUAAUAUUUAAUAUUUUAAGGGAUAAGCUUUAAAAUAAUUUAAUAAAUAAGAAAAAUUUAAGAAAAAAUUUAAUUUUUUAUGAAAAAAUAAUUUUAAAUUAAUUAAAUUUAAAUAUAAUGAUAAAAUUAGUAUAUUGUAUAAUUAAUAAAAAUUAAAAUAAAAUAAAUGAAAUAUUAUAAUAAGGAAUUCGGCAAAUUUUAAUAUUCACUUGUUUAACAAAAACAUGUCUUUUUGAGAAUAAUAUAAAGUCUAGUCUGCCCACUGAUAUAAUAUUAAAGGGCUGCAGUAUUUUGACUGUACAAAGGUAGCAUAAUCAUUUGUCUUUUAAUUGAAGACUAGUAUGAAGGAUUGGAUGAAAUAUUAACUGUCUCAUUUUAAUUUGUAAAAUUUAAUUUUUUAGUUAAAAAGCUAAAAUAAAUUUAAAAGACGAGAAGACCCUAUAGAGUUUAAUAAUUAAAAUAAUAAUAAUUAAAUAUAAAUAUAAAAAUUAAAAUUAAUUUAAUUAUUUUGUUGGGGUGACAGAAAAAUUAAAUUAACUUUUUUUAAUUGAUAUUACAUAAAUAAGUGAGAAAAUGAUCCAUUAAUAAUGAUUAAAAGAAAAAAUUACCUUAGGGAUAACAGCGUAAUUUUUUUUUUUAGGUCAAAUAAGAAAAAAAGUUUGCGACCUCGAUGUUGGAUUAAGAUAAAAUUUAAAUGCAAAAGUUUAAAAGUUUUGAUCUGUUCGAUCAUUAAAAUCUUACAUGAUCUGAGUUCAAACCGGUGAAAGCCAGGUUGGUUUCUAUCUUUAGAAAAAUAUAAUAUUUUAGUACGAAAGGAUCAAAUA